rnacentral:rRNA from 1 species
GCCUACGGGGGGCAGCAGUGAGGAAUAUUGGUCAAUGGGCGGGAGCCUGAACCAGCCAAGUCGCGUGAAGGAAGAAGGUACUUAGUAUUGUAAACUUCUUUUGUCGGGGAACAAAGGCGGAGACGCGUCUCCGGAUGAGUGUACCCGAAGAAAAAGCAUCGGCUAACUCCGUGCCAGCAGCCGCGGUAAUACGGAGGAUGCGAGCGUUAUCCGGAUUUAUUGGGUUUAAAGGGUGCGUAGGCGGGCUUUUAAGUCAGCGGUAAAAAUUCGGGGCUCAACCCCGUCCGGUCGUUGAAACUGGGGGC